ACCGCUGCAGACCCUGAGCUCUACGCGGGUCUGGGCGCCAACGGCCUCGCCCGUGGGGCCGGGCCGUUUCCGGGCAGCACUCCCAUCAUCCUCCCGGGACGGGAUUUGCCCAGUCUGUACCAGAGCUCCUGAGGGGUCCUGGGGCUCCCAGGCCGCGUGAGCCUGGGGGUGGGACCCCCAGAAAGGAGCGCAUUUCCUGCUCCCGCGAUCCACGCCCCACGCGCCUGUCAGCGCAUUUGCCACCUGAGGCCCGGCAGGAAGGGAGACUCGCAGGGUCUAGGAUCCACCUCUAGGCUCAUGCCUUGCCGACCGGGAGAGCUGCACCGAGUCACUUGCCUCCCUGGCCUCAGUUUCCCCAUCUGUAAAUGGCUGUAAGUACCUGCCUGCAGUGGCUCCUGAGGAAACCGCCCAAUCAGAGUGAGUCCUCCUCUCCAGGAGCUGCCACUCCGGUGGGGGAAAGAGCGACAAAGGCAGACUUCGGCAUUACUAUUUGGAAGGAGAGAGAGUAAAGGAAGAAAUGGGAAGACAGAAGAGGCCCCGAUCAGGAAAGAAAAGAGAAGCUUGCUGUGGAUGCAAACUUGGCUGUUUUUGUCAGAGGAGAAGCUCAAGGCCUCACUGUUGCUGGGAAUGGCUGCUCUUUUCAUCAGGGGAGCUCUAAUCUUCACCAUGAGCAUCACCUCCUGGCUCCAAUGUGGCUCCCUCAGCCUGGUGGCACAAAUCCUUCAUCCCACUGGCAUGGGUUUUCUGGCUUCCAGCAUUGGCCUUUAGGCCUUCCAGAGAAAUUGGGCUCAUCUACUGUCGUGAGGACUGAGGACCGCAGCUCCUGUCCUUCCCCCCAGCCCUUCUCCAAGAAUACCACCGCCAUCUCCGUCGCUGCCCACAGAAGCCUGGGGCUCCUGCUGCGGCCCAUGAGGAGCCCCACCGUUCAGCACCUGACCUCACUGCCCAUGGAUGGGUCUGCUGCCUCUCCUGGGCCAGCCACGGAUAUCUCUGUCCACAAAUAGUAUUUACCAAACAUGCCCAUGUGCCCUCGUGGGCAGAAGUGAGGACUUCAGGCCCAGCAGAGACAUCUUCUCCUGGCCUCUCCUUUCUCGCUACUCUUCCUCCCUGGCAUCCUUGCUGCCCAGGCCACCUCGGGCUUCAUAGCACCAUCUCCACCCGCCAUGUUGGAUCACAUCAGCCAUGGUGGUCUCCGGCCUGUUACCACCAAAUUCACCUCUUCCAAGGGCCUCUAGAAAAUGCUGGAUGCCUCCAAUUGGGGGUGAAUUCUCUUUGUUGGCAGUUGCUAUAUUGCAGUCUGAAUGGAGCAGAGGAUGCAAAGGGCCCCACCUGCCCCUGAUGGGAACCAGGGUUCCAUCCAUCCUUGAGCCCUAGAGGAGGCCACUAUUAGCUUUCCUGAAGAAGCCAGUCCUGGCCCUAAAUGCAGAUGAGCACGGGGAGACUGCACCCCUAGAUUAUAGUGCCCCCACCAGAGAAGUGGAACCUCACCAACUCCACAGGGACUCUGGGAGACAAAGUGUGGCUGGCUUCACCACCUCCUGCUGUUGGCCAAGUUGGAACCUUAGCAGAAACAAGGGGCUGGGUGGGCACCAUCAGAACCAUCUGACAGGUGAAGAAACUGACCUGGAGAAGGGUGAAUGGAAAUGGUCGGGGGCUCUCUGCUGGGCCCACCCACCGCUCUGCCUUGGGCCAGGGAAGCCCCUGUGAAUGCAGAUGGGAGACGCCUUCUAGAAAGUUCCCUGAGUCAAGAAUUUAGAAAAAACUUCAAAGCCAUGGACAGCGGCAAACCUGCCCUGCAGAACUCACAUCCAGGGAGCUCGGGCCAAAUUCAGCAGAGGCUUUUUGCCUAAACCUCAAAUUCUUGGAUUAUAAAAAGAGCAACAUCUGCAUUUUCAUAUAUUUUAACAUUUAAUAAACCAAGAAUUCUGAAUAAUAAACAUCUUGAUGGAACAAUUUCCCCCCCUUAGCCUUUUCCACUAGACAGGAGUGGGUCAGACACUCUGGCCACCAUAGCUCUGGCUUUCUUACCAGAGGCUGCCUUUUCUUUUUUUGGUACUGGAGAUUGAAUCCAGGGUGUUCUGCCACUGAACUACAUCCCUGAGCCUUUUAUGUUUUAUUUUGAGGCAGAGCCUCGAUAAGCUGUCCAGGCCGCACUUGAACUUGACACCCUCCUGCCUCUGUCUCCUAGUGCUGGGAUUGUAGGUGUGCACCACCAUGCCUGACCAGGGACUGCCCUCAAGAGCCCAGCUGGGCAUCUAGCCAGUCCGUUGGUGGGAGGUAUGGACUGCAAACUUGCAGGCCAGGUUGUCAAGCGGGCAGUGGGUGUAAUAAAUACUUUAUUGUUUCUUGAUUCUGCUAGGUUGGACAGUACCAACGGUCUGUUAAGUAGCUUGCACAAAAACCUUCUCACCAGCUGGGGUUUUCUGUACAUUUAAUCUUGGCCUGGAAGGAGAGGAAGAAAUGACUGCUAGCAGACACCUUGAGCUGCUCCUGCGGAGGCCCUAGAGCCAGAGGACAAAUCCCACUCCCUUAACUUCCCACCUCAGAAACCCUUGAAGACAAAAUAGUUCAUUGUACAGUUGGAGCUCAGGACCCAAGUGCCUGAGGGCAAAGAGGGCAAAGAGGAGGGGUUUCUCUUUGCUACAGCCUUUUGCUGCCUCUGAGGUGCAUGCAGUUUCGGACAAAGAGGGAUGGGGAUCCAGAGCAGGCCGGAUCAGAGGCCACAGUGCUUCCCUGGGCUGGAAAUACAACUGUGUUGUUCUCAAAAUUGAGAGGAAAGUUGAAUC
rnacentral:lncRNA from 1 species